rnacentral:rRNA from 1 species
CCUACGGAGGGCAGCAGUGAGGAAUCUUGGUCAAUGGCCGUAAGGCUGAACCAGCCAAGUCGCGUGAAGGAAGAAGGAUCUAUGGUUUGUAAACUUCUUUUCUAGGGGAAUAAAGGUAUCCACGUGUGGAUAUUUGCAUGUACCCUAUGAAUAAGCAUCGGCUAACUCCGUGCCAGCAGCCGCGGUAAUACGGAGGAUGCGAGCGUUAUCCGGAUUUAUUGGGUUUAAAGGGUGCGUAGGUUGUUUUUUAAGUCAGCGGUGAAAGUUUGUGGCUCAACCAUAAAAUUGCCGUUGAAACUGGAAGACUUGAGUGUGUUUGAGGUAGGCGGAAUGCGUGGUGUAGCGGUGAAAUGCAUAGAUAUCACGCAGAACUCCGAUUGCGAAGGCAGCUUACUAAGCCAUAACUGACACUGAAGCACGAAAGCGUGGGGAUCGAACAGGAUUAGAUACCCAGUAGUC